CUCCUCGGAAGACUUAGGCGUGUGGACCUUCAACCCUACAUCGACAAAGCGGUGGCUCGUCUUAGCCCGUGGAAAGGAAAGUUCCUGAACCAUGCCGGGUGCACUGCUCUGGUUAAGUCCGUGCUCUCCUCCAUGCCAAUCUUCUUGCUGACGGCUUUAAAGGCUGACAAAGGCAUCCUCAAGGCCUUUGUGAAGAUCAGUCGUGGCAUGCUCUGGGCCUGUAAGGAGGCGGUUAGUGGAGGAAAAUGCAAAGUCAACUGGCAAAAGGUCUGCCGCCCUAAGGAGCUCGGUGGUUUG
rnacentral:rRNA from 1 species